UGGGGAAUCUUGCGCAAUGGGCGAAAGCCUGACGCAGCGACGCCGUGUGUGCGAUGAAGGUCUUCGGAUCGUAAAGCACUGUCGCGAGGGAAAAAACCGAAAGGGUGAUGGUACCUCGAAAGGAAGCACCGGCUAACUCUGUGCCAGCAGCCGCGGUAAUACAGAGGGUGCAAGCGUUGUUCGGAAUUAUUGGGCGUAAAGCGCAUGUAGGCGGCUCCUUAAGUCGCGUGUGAAAGCUCCAGGCUCAACCUGGAAAGUGCGCGCGAAACUGGGGAGCUUGAGUGCCGGAGAGGGUGGCGGAAUUCCCGGUGUAGAGGUGAAAUUCGUAGAUAUCGGGAGGAACACCAGAGGCGAAGGCGGCCACCUGGACGGACACUGACGCUGAGACGCGAAAGCGUGG
rnacentral:rRNA from 1 species